CUGGUACCUGUAGUCAUAGCUACUUAGGAGGCUGAGGCAGGAGAAUGGUGUGAACCCAGGAGGCGGAGCUUGCAGUGAGCCGAGAUCGCCCCACUGCACUCCAGCCUGGGCAAUAGAGCGAGACUCUGUCUCAAAAAACAAAACAAAACAAAAAACAAACAAAAAAAUUGACCCUCUUGCAGAAAAGCCCUAUUUGUAUUGGGGUUUUUCUUUCUCCUUGGCACACUGACAUGUAUCCCAAGUAUAUAAAGCACAGAAGUAUAGAAAUAAGGGAACUCUUACAUGAUUUUUCUUACUAUUGUGUGGGACUUCAACUCUUAUGUGCUAGACCUACAGUUCUUUCUAAGGAAGACUAAUAAUGCAUGAUGAGUAAUAAUUUAUACCCACUGACAUUGCCUGGAUAUUUAUCAUUAGAAUUCCCGAGCUGUGAGGGCCUUGAGAAGGAAUCUAGCCUUUUACAGAUAAAGGAGCUCAGGCUCAUAGGGGUGAAGUAACUGUCAUAUUCACACCUACAGGAAGAGGCAGAGCUAGAACUUGAUUGUACCUGAGUUUUCUUACUUCCAUCCAGCACUCUUCUGACUACAGCAUUUGCAGCAAUAUAAGAUUCACUCAGUACAUUCUACUCACAAACAGUAUCUAGAAUAGUCAUAUGUCCAAUAAAGUAUCUGCAGUCAUCUGUUCUGGUGGCCAUAACUAAAUGCCAUAGACUGGGUGCUUAAACAACAAAUUAAUUUUGUCACAGUUCUGGAGGUUGGAAUUCCAAGAUUAAGGUGCUGUCAGGGUUGGUUUCCGGUGAGGCCUCCCCUCCCAGUCUCUUAUCUGUGCACGCAGGGAAAAAGAGAGAGCAUGCAGUGCAUUUUGGUUUCUCUUCUUCUUAUAAGGACACCCAGAUUAGGGCCUCACCCUUAUAACAUUAUUUAGCUUUAUUUACCCUCCUAAAGGCCCCAUCUCCAUGUACAUUCACACUGGGGGUUAGGGCUUCAACAUAUGGAUUUUGGAGGGACCCAAUUUACUUAAUAAUAUAAUUUAUCUAUAUCUAUCUAU
rnacentral:lncRNA from 1 species